rnacentral:rRNA from 1 species
UUCUUGUGGGGGGGGCUAGCCAUGCGAGUCACAUAGCAAUAUGUGGCAUACGGCUCAGUAACACGUAGUCAACAUGCCCAGGGGACGUGGAUAACCUCGGGAAACUGAGGAUAAACCGCGAUAGGUCAUCACUUCUGGAAUGGGUAAUGACUUAAAUCUAUAUGGCCCCUGGAUUGGACUGCGGCCGAUCAGGCUGUUGGUGAGGUAAUGGCCCACCAAACCUGUAACCGGUACGGGCUCUGAGAGGAGGAGCCCGGAGAUGGGCACUGAGACAAGGGCCCAGGCCCUAUGGGGCGCAGCAGGCGCGAAACCUCUGCAAUAGGCGAAAGCUUGACAGGGUUACUCUGAGUGAUUUCCGUUAAGGAGAUCUUUUGGCACCUCUAAAAAUGGUGCAGAAUAAGGGGUGGGCAAGUCUGGUGUCAGCCGCCGCGGUAAUACCAGCACCCCGAGUGGUCGGGACGUUUAUUGGGCCUAAAGCAUCCGUAGCCGGUUCUACAAGUCUUCCGUUAAAUCCACCUGCUUAACAGAUGGGCUGCGGAAGAUACUAUAGAGCUAGGAGGCGGGAGAGGCAAGCGGUACUCGAUGGGUAGGGGUAAAAUCCGUUGAUCCAUUGAAGACCACCAGUGGCGAAGGCGGCUUGCCAGAACGCGCUCGACGGUGAGGGAUGAAAGCUGGGGGAGCAAACCGGAUUAGAUACCCGGGUAGUCCCAGCUGUAAACGAUGCAGACUCGGUGAUGAGUUGGCUUAUUGCUAACUCAGUGCCGCAGGGAAGCUGUUAAGUCUGCCGCCUGGGGAGUACGAUCGCAAGAUUGAAACUUAAAGGAAUUGGCGGGGGAGCACCACAAGGGGUGAAGCCUGCGGUUCAAUUGGAUUCAACGCCGGG